UGGCAGUGCCUUGCUAGCUGGCUGUUGAGAACUUGAUAUAUGAACAGUUGCUAGCUGCACUCCACA
rnacentral:pre_miRNA from 1 species